rnacentral:rRNA from 1 species
GUGAGGAAUCUUCCACAAUGGGCGAAAGCCUGAUGGAGCAACGCCGCGUGAAGGAUGAAGGUCUUCGGAUUGUAAACUUCUUUUAUGAGUGAAGAAUAUGACGGUAACUCAUGAAUAAGCACCGGCUAACUACGUGCCAGCAGCCGCGGUCAUACGUAGGGUGCAAGCAUUAUCCGGAGUGACUGGGCGUAAAGAGUUGCGUAGGCGGUUAUGUAAGCGAAUAGUGAAACCUGGUGGCUCAACCACACAGACGAUUAUUCGAACUGCAUAACUCGAGAAUGGUAGAGGUAACUGGAAUUUCUUGUGUAGGAGUGAAAUCCGUAGAUAUAAGAAGGAACACCAAUGGCGUAGGCAGGUUACUGGGCCAUUUCUGACGCUAAGGCACGAAAGCGUGGGGAGCAAACAGGAUUAGAUACCCUAGUAGUCC